AGAGUUUGAUCAUGGCUCAGAUUGAACGCUGGCGGCAGGCCUAACACAUGCAAGUCGAGCGGUAGCACAGAGAGCUUGCUCUCGGGUGACGAGCGGCGGACGGGUGAGUAAUGUCUGGGAAACUGCCUGAUGGAGGGGGAUAACUACUGGAAACGGUAGCUAAUACCGCAUAACGUCGCAAGACCAAAGUGGGGGACCUUCGGGCCUCAUGCCAUCAGAUGUGCCCAGAUGGGAUUAGCUAGUAGGUGGGGUAACGGCUCACCUAGGCGACGAUCCCUAGCUGGUCUGAGAGGAUGACCAGCCACACUGGAACUGAGACACGGUCCAGACUCCUACGGGAGGCAGCAGUGGGGAAUAUUGCACAAUGGGCGCAAGCCUGAUGCAGCCAUGCCGCGUGUGUGAAGAAGGCCUUCGGGUUGUAAAGCACUUUCAGCGGGGAGGAAGGCGNUCGAUUGACGUUACCCGCAGAAGAAGCACCGGCUAACUCCGUGCCAGCAGCCGCGGUAAUACGGAGGGUGCAAGCGUUAAUCGGAAUUACUGGGCGUAAAGCGCACGCAGGCGGUCUGUCAAGUCGGAUGUGAAAUCCCCGGGCUCAACCUGGGAACUGCAUUCGAAACUGGCAGGCUAGAGUCUUGUAGAGGGGGGUAGAAUUCCAGGUGUAGCGGUGAAAUGCGUAGAGAUCUGGAGGAAUACCGGUGGCGAAGGCGGCCCCCUGGACAAAGACUGACGCUCAGGUGCGAAAGCGUGGGGAGCAAACAGGAUUAGAUACCCUGGUAGUCCACGCCGUAAACGAUGUCGAUUUGGAGGUUGUGCCCUUGAGGCGUGGCUUCCGGAGCUAACGCGUUAAAUCGACCGCCUGGGGAGUACGGCCGCAAGGUUAAAACUCAAAUGAAUUGACGGGGGCCCGCACAAGCGGUGGAGCAUGUGGUUUAAUUCGAUGCAACGCGAAGAACCUUACCUGGUCUUGACAUCCACAGAACUUUCCAGAGAUGGAUUGGUGCCUUCGGGAACUGUGAGACAGGUGCUGCAUGGCUGUCGUCAGCUCGUGUUGUGAAAUGUUGGGUUAAGUCCCGCAACGAGCGCAACCCUUAUCCUUUGUUGCCAGCGGUUAGGCCGGGAACUCAAAGGAGACUGCCAGUGAUAAACUGGAGGAAGGUGGGGAUGACGUCAAGUCAUCAUGGCCCUUACGACCAGGGCUACACACGUGCUACAAUGGCAUAUACAAAGAGAAGCGACCUCGCGAGAGCAAGCGGACCUCAUAAAGUAUGUCGUAGUCCGGAUUGGAGUCUGCAACUCGACUCCAUGAAGUCGGAAUCGCUAGUAAUCGUAGAUCAGAAUGCUACGGUGAAUACGUUCCCGGGCCUUGUACACACCGCCCGUCACACCAUGGGAGUGGGUUGCAAAAGAAGUAGGUAGCUUAACCUUCGGGAGGGCGCUUACCACUUUGUGAUUCAUGACUGGGGUGAAGUCGUAACAAGGUAACCGUAGGGGAACCUGCGGUUGGAUCACCU
rnacentral:rRNA from 1 species